rnacentral:rRNA from 1 species
AGAGUUUGAUCCUGGCUCAGAGCGAACGCUGGCGGCAGGCCUAACACAUGCAAGUCGAGCGCCGUAGCAAUACGGAGCGGCAGACGGGAGAGUAACACGUGGGAACGUGCCCUUCAGUUCGGAACAACCCAGGGAAACUUGGGCUAAUACCGGAUACGUCCGUAAGGAGAAAGAUUUAUCGCUGAAGGAUCGGCCCGCGUCUGAUUAGCUAGUUGGUGGGGUAACGGCCCACCAAGGCGACGAUCAGUAGCUGGUCUGAGAGGAUGAUCAGCCUCACUGGGACUGAGACACGGCCCAGACUCCUACGGGAGGCAGCAGUGGGGAAUAUUGGACAAUGGGCGCAAGCCUGAUCCAGCCAUGCCGCGUGGGUGAUGAAGGCCCUAGGGUUGUAAAGCCCUUUCGGCGGGGAAGAUAAUGACGGUACCCGCAGAAGAAGCCCCGGCUAACUUCGUGCCAGCCGCCGCGGUAAUAC